rnacentral:rRNA from 1 species
AUUGAACGCUAGCGGGAUGCCUUACACAUGCAAGUCGAACGGAGUGGCGAACGGGUGAGUAAUGUAUCGGAACGUGCCCAGUAGCGGGGGAUAACUACGCGAAAGCGUAGCUAAUACCGCAUACUAUUGGAGCGGCCGAUACAGGAUUAGCUAGUUGGUGGGGUAACGGCUCACCAAGGCGACGAUCCGUAGCUGGUUUGAGAGGACGACCAGCCACACUGGGACGGAGACACGGCCCAGACCCCUACGGGAUGCAGCAGUGGGGAAUAUUGGACAAUGGGGGAAAGCCUGAUGCAGCCAUCCCGCGUGUGCGAUGAAGGCCUUCGGGUUGUAAAGCACUUUUGGCAGGGAAGCGGUACCUGCAGAAGAAGCACCGGCUAACUACGUGCCAGCAGCCGCGGUAAUAC